rnacentral:rRNA from 1 species
GUCCACGCCCUAAACGAUGCACACUAGAUCGGUGCGGGUUUCACCCCGUAUUGGUCGUAGAGAAAUUGAUAAGUGUGCCGCCUGGGGAGUACGGUCGCAAGGCUAAAACUCAAAGAAAUUGACGGGGGCUCACACAAGCGGUGGAGCAUGUUGCUUAAUUCGAAGCAACGCGAAGAACCUUACCUGGGUUUGACAUGCACGGAUUAGUUCCUGGAAACAGGAAUGAGGCCCGCAAGGGUACAACGUGCACAGGUGCUGCAUGGCUGUCGU